rnacentral:rRNA from 1 species
GACGAACGCUGGCGGCGUGCUUAACACAUGCAAGUCGAACGGAAAGGCCCUUCGGGGUACUCGAGUGGCGAACGGGUGAGUAACACGUGGGUGAUCUGCCCUGCACUUUGGGAUAAGCCUGGGAAACUGGGUCUAAUACCGAAUAGGACCACGCGCUUCAUGGUGUGUGGGGGAAAGCUUUUGCGGUGUGGGAUGGGCCCGCGGCCUAUCAGCUUGUUGGUGGGGUAAUGGCCUACCAAGGCGACGACGGGUAGCCGGCCUGAGAGGGUGACCGGCCACACUGGGACUGAGAUACGGCCCAGACUCCUACGGGAGGCAGCAGUGGGGAAUAUUGCACAAUGGGCGCAAGCCUGAUGCAGCGACGCCGCGUGAGGGAUGACGGCCUUCGGGUUGUAAACCUCUUUCACCAGGGACGAAGCGUAAGUGACGGUACCUGGAGAAGAAGCACCGGCCAACUACGUG